UCCUCUUCCGUCCAGUUGUCAUCUUCCUUGGCCCUAACCCUAAGGUAGCGGCGGUGUUCUCGGCGCUAGGUUUGCCGCCGCAGUUUUCUCCUGGAGGGAGAGCUGCGCCGCCGUGGUCUCCGUCCUCCGGCCCGUCUGCUCGGUUGGUGGAGGGGUUCGGGGCUGGUUGCUGGACUCCGUCAGGCUGCUCACCUUUCUGCGCUCCGUAAAGAUUUCUUUGGGAGAGAGGGCCUGGUGGAUGUGUGCUAUUUUGCGGAUGUAGGCUGAAGUUGAGAUAUCCUUAUCGAUCAUGUCAUCUUUCUUAUUCUUACCCCUCGGUUUCUAAGCUUCGUGGUUCCAAUGCGUGUGUGUUGCAGGUGGGAGUUGUAUCUGCCACUGUUGGGGUGGAACAGAUUGACUUUAUUUUCUGGAUUUCGUGAUCGGGGUCACCCGAUCUGCUGCAUAAGAAUUUAUGGUCCAUUCUCUUCUCUUAGCUGUUUCUCCUUCAGAGUCUAUGCAGGGAAUGUUGAGUGAAUUCAUCGUGCCUGAAGGUAAAGACCAGAGCUUACUGAUAUAUACAAUUCCAAUGGGCAUGUAUUAACAGUCUACUUGGAGUCAUCUUUUCAAUGGGACUGCUCUAUACUACAUUAAGGAGCAGAAGUGCAAGGUCAUCGCUCUAUGGAACUGGUUUGUCAUAUUUCCCUGUAUACAUUUUGAUUACCCAAUCGUCUCCACGUACAAACUAUUAAUGCUCCAGGUAAAACCUUCGGAGUGGCAAAGGAGCUAAUUGCUGACAGGUGUUCCACUGUGGUUAUACAGUAUACUGCAUUGUCAUAUUCAUUGCCCAGCAAGAUACUUCAGGUGUUCAUAGCAAGCCUAUCCAAACUAUGAAUUAAUAUAGUGAUAUUCACACUUCUCAAUCAGUAUAUCAAAAGCCAUGAGCAAGAAUGCUUUGUAUCGGCUGUGCAUCACAAGGAAAGAAAAAAUAUACCUUAUAAAUGCUUCAGGUUCGCAUACCCACAAAAUCAGAUGCCAUGAAUCUUUUGAUAUAUCUGAACUCUAGAGUAUAAGAUACAUCUUCCUACUCUUCUAGCGAUCUAGAACCGGUUACCUCAUGACUAUUUAUUUGAGAUAUGCUAAAGUUACUUUAAUAGUAGAUGCAACUUGCAGCUAUUGUGCACGGUCGUUAGUCUGUGGGAAGUUUUAUCUCUUUCGUACAGUCAAAGCUAUGUGCAAUUCAUUCUUAUUAAAUUGGAAUCCAUCCUUGGUCAUUCUAUCUUCCUUUUCAUCAAUGGUUUAUGCUAAUGACAAUUUUAAAUUUAUUGGCGUAGAAGCAGAGCUUCAGGUCUGUAUGUUGUUUAUCGUCCAGUAUGUCAUUACAAGUAGCUUAUGGUUCAGUAUAUCACUGCAAGUAGUUUAUGGUUCAAAAGGAUUGUCGUCGAUGCUAAUGAGGAGACACAAGUUUAUGUGAAAUUUGUGUCUGAGACAUUUCUGUGAUGUCACUCUUUCACCUUGGAGAUCUGAUGCAUCACCCUCACUUAUGUCUUAUUUGCGUUCUCUUGGUACUUCUCUUUUAAAAAAUAUUUGGUUUUGGGUUUAAAUGGCCUAGAGAUGAGCUGAUGAUUGAGAUUAUUUCCCUAUUGGUUUGAUUGUCUGAUCGUUCUCUUGUUUCCACACAAAAAAAAGAGUUGUGUUUCUUAUUACCUUGUCUUAUCAUUGUUUUCAUAGUUGUCCUUGUUGCGUAAUUUCAUUUAUUCAAUAGAUGAUUAUUAUAUUGCCAACUUGGUGGAAUACGCACGAUAUUUUUAUAAAUAUGAUCUUGCAAUGCAUUUAUUUUUCUCCAAUUGCUCCUGCAGUUAUUUUACUUAUACUAGCUUAGAUAAGAUCGCCAACAGUCUGGGCAGUCAAACCACUGGCUCUGGAAAAGAUGGCUUGCAGAAUGGGGAUGACAGGGCUGAAGACAGGCCUUUCUUCAAAAGGAGAGAAGGACACCUCUGAGGGCUCCUCUGCUACGUGUAUAAGCAAAAAAAGCUAAAAUGGAAGUUCACCAAGCUGGCCUUUCUCAAGCUACCACUUCCACUUGAUGUCUACAAGGAGGUAAAGCUAUCUUUCGUUAUUUUCAGCAUCCGGUAAGUAAUAAUUUCUCAAUUGCUUCUUCUUGAACUGUCUAUGAAUGGUUAUAUGCGUUGCACCUUAAUUUAGAAAUUGCUGUUGGUGAUUUCCUGACUCCUUUUUUUCUUAUAAAACUAUGAUCAUGUUUACAUGCACUGUCUACUAUGCAAGGGGACUUCGGUCCAUUGAUAAAUGGAUUGCAGGCUGGCCAAGCUAGUCACCUUUUCCUUUUUUUCCUUCUGUUCUUCUAUUCUCUACCUCUCUAUUUGUUUCCUCCCCUCCCUCCCUUCGCUCCUGUUUUGUACCCUGGUUUUGUAAGAACUAUUGCCCCAGUAAGCAUUUUGCUUAUGGGUUCUUUAUAAAAAUCUGUUGGUAAGGGGUCUCCCCUCCCGAUUUCCUUAAAAAAAACUAUGCAAGGGGAAUUUAUUAUACUACAAGAACUGUGUAGCCACUUAUGAUGAAAUAAUUUUUUGUUUACUGUUGUUGUUAAGAAGAAUUGGUUUUAUUUUCCAGUUAUUAUAAAAAAGCUUUAAUUACCGAUGUUAGUUGCGUAUCUCGAGUGACAGUUUGUAAUCUGCAGGUCCUUGCUACACUUCAUCAGAAUGUUAUUCCUCCAAUGUCAAACCCAGCCAUCUUGUGUGAUUUCUUGACUACAUCAUACGCCAUUGGCAGUGUUAUCAGUGUGAUGGCCUUAAAGUGGUCUAUUCAUCCUUAUGACACAACAUUAGCUUUAAUAUCCAAAACUCUAUAGCUCUAUGCAUUACUGACCUGUGCUGUGUAUAUGGCAAAGCAUCGGUCAUUGUUCUUGCAUGUAAGUAGCUCUCAAUAAAUAUAAGUGUAAUAUUAUGGUUACACUAUGAAUGAAUAUGGCCAUACUUUGUAAUGUAUUAAGUUCUAUGAACUAAAAGGGGUUUCCGAAGAACUGUCAGUCAUCCAAGCUAUGGUUCCAUUUCACGUCAACAUUUUCAAUCAUGAUCUCACAAGUGCCAUGUAGCCACCUUUGCAUCUUGUGAUGCUGUUCCAGAGCAACAAAGCCAAAUUUCGUUAUUUCUGUUUAUUAACUAUUUGUCAUGGAAUGCUGUGGAAUGCAUCAUGUCGAGUCAACGUUUAACCUACAAACGACAAGUUCAGCAUGCUGUUUAAAAAGUAAUGUACCAUAUAUAUUAGAGUAGACUUGUUAGGUUAGUUAACCAUGAAUCCUGUGGCCUGCCAAACUUGAAUAUACCCUGAGGUCAUUUGUAUGCGCAAGCAAUGCGGCUGUGUGAUCCCACCUACGUUGGCACUUCUUUGUAACCCAUCUAUUUUGUCUAGCCAUUGCUGUACCCAUUGAAGAUUAGUCCAUAACAGUAGAUGGAAAACAAAUAUAGAUUACAGUACUCCGCCCUUAAUCUUGUGCAAGUGACUGGCCUGUGCCAGCGAGUGGAUUAUAUCAGCGGAUCACUAUUAACCAUGUUUGAGCUCUGAACUAUCUUUCUUCCAGCCAUGAGUCUGGAUAUGAUAUCAACUCUUACUCAUGGAUUGAACAAACAAACAUGUUUCUUUUGUUGCUUAUUCUUACGAAUAGGCCAGAUUGCAGUUUAUUCUUUUUUUAUUAUUAUUAGCUGGAGCUCUUAUUAUCAUUGCUUAAGUUCAUAAUCUGCUGCGGAGGCACCCAUCCAUUAAUUUUUUAGUUGGGUAUGUUGCUUGCUAUAGCCUUGUAAUCUGCAUAUAUAAGCUCUUGAUUGAUCCAGUGUGGUAUACAUCUCUGUACACCUAACAAACCAUGUGUUGGUAGCACAUUCAUUUUAAGCUCACAUUUUCUAUGUUGUGUUCUGCAAGAGCCUUUUUGUUUUGUAAUUAUUUUUGUGUUGUUCCAUAAGCUAAUUCCAGUGCUUUGGAUUCUC